CGGCGUGAUGGGGGGUGCGGUGGUCUCUGGUGGGGUCUACAAGCCUUCAGGUACCUGAGCGGCGGGGCUGGCCACCUCCCGUCUGCGCACACGGGGUAGGCCGCGGUUUGUGUUGCCGCCGAUGUCGGAGCUGACACUUCCGUCGCGGUGUAAAUGUUCACCGGGUGUCCCUCCAGCCUCUGGUGAGUGGCCUGGCUGUGGAUGGGCUCGGUUCGAGUGGUAUAUACCCCAAUUUGGGCACUUUUUUGCCGGAGCUCUGGCGAGUUGCGACCUCCCGGCUCG